rnacentral:piRNA from 1 species
CAGUUAUAUCAGUCAGUGCUCUCCC